AGAAGCUUGAGCUGACCCAAAUGCUCAGACAUUUCCUGAAGGUUUGAGCACGAGCCCUUCAGACCAGUUCUGAACAGAGUAACUAUACAGAGGCGAGAGUGAACCUCACUGUGGUGUCAAAGUGUGAAUCGUGAACUCCUCCCCAGUCACCUGAUAUAACGGCGAUUUUCCCAGAUCCAUGCUCUUCCAGAGCUAUUCUUUCCGCUUCUUCCAUCAGCAGCAUGCCGAACCCCUAGGAGGAGCACCAAGGAGUUCGUGGAUUAAGAGGGGAAGGAAGACCAUUAAGAGAGGCAAUUUCCUAACUACAGGCCCACUGGAGGCAGGACGCGGGUACCUGAUGCUGGAAUUUGGAGGGGUCCCGGCUGCUGACAGGGACUACACUCCCGUACACAUGGAGCUCCCGGACUAUGGAAACACCUCCACCCAGUUCAAACCGGAAGGUUUCCUCAGAGCACUUCCGUAGCCUCAGCAGGCCAAUCAGAAUGUCCUGGUCAGGAUCUUCGUAGGACAGGAAGGUUUCCCAGCCUCCAUUGGCAACAUAAUCUCUCCGGACCAACUCAACCUGUUCGAUAAAAAGCCAUGAAGAGCCUCAUUCAGAAUUAGAGAACCAAAAUCACUUUUACAAGUGCAUGGAUGUGUUUAGGCUAAUGUUCAGCUAGGAACAAAGGAUGAAUCAUCACUAAUUAUGUUUUUUAUUUGCCUCCUCUCAAGUAGCACAGGAUUAAACAAGAGUUCAUGUCUUGUUCAUGGACUAUUAUAAAUGGAGAACAAUUUUACAAAUAUUUGAACUUAACUAACCUUGAGAUUCUCAGAGCUAUCCAGCUCAGUGACUGCUUCUAUGUAAAUUUAUGAUGUCCUAUGUAUUGUCUCUAAGACAAAACUACAGAUUAAAUCACAUGUGGGGCUUUCAGAAUGCUUCCCACUCCCCAUCUUGCUUUCAAACCGUCAGAUAGUCAAUGGUUUCCCUGUCCAGUCCCUACUUCUUCCACUAAAGCCUACUUUGUA